AUGUGACAACCCAAAUUGGAAGCAACACAUCUCAUGAUGAAUUAUUCAAGACAGGAAAUGGGAUAAGUGGAUACAUCAAUACAAACAGAUCAAACAUCGAGAACGAUACGAACUUUUAGCUCUGCUGGAUCCCGCUCGGCCAUGUCAGGUUCUUCACCGGCUUGAGAAUGGCUUCAACCUCGGAGAGCGUUUCUUGAUCCAUUCCUGCAGACGCCAGCUCCACUGCAGCGGCGACAUUCUCCUCGACCUGACAUUGGCACGCAAGAGUGUAUCAGGGAAGCUCAUUCCGACACUGCUAGAUGCUGCGCCUUCCUAUUUAAACUAGCGGCGAUAUCACCCAUGUUCUUCUCAUCGCAGUAGAAGGUGCAUGAUGAGUUAGCUCAGAAUCUUUUUGACCACAAAUGCACACUUGAUAGUUAUCUAAAUGGCAUCAGGCGUACCAGAUUCCUUGACUUUACCUUUUUUAGGAGGAUUAACCAAUUAAGUAAUCAACGAGGACUAUAUGUAUCUUUAGCAGAACGUCAACAAACCUGAAAUUUUUAAAUUGGCCCAUUCCCUAACUAAAGCCAAAGCCAAAGCCAAUGUCCCACUACACUCCCAACUACCCUCUAAAUUAUAUAUUGUCCUAAUCAAGAAGUUUGGAUGCAUAUUGCACUCUGGCCAUUUUCUGCACUGCCCAGAAACCAAAGGAGACAAACUAGGCAAAGACAUAAUGGACAUUGGUAGCAACCCACAAAGAACUUAGAAGUAGGAUGACAAAUUAUGGGUGUACACAGGCAAAAAGCAUCUGUCAAUAAAAAAAGCAAAGAUUACAAAUCCAAGCAUAAAGCAAGACUGCAAUAUGACUGUUAUCUGAAAUGCUUUUCUCAGUAAUGUUGUGAUCGGUGCGAAACAAAGAUAAGCCAACUAUGCAAUUUUUUCACUAUAAUUUGGUACAACUGAAAUCAGGGAAAUGAAAAAAGGAUGUAAAUUAGGUAAGUAGUGCUUCGGUCAACAAAACAGAUAUGGUUAAGAGAAGGCAAACAUCAUUCACAAUACAAUCUUGAUGAAUCACCAAGCCCCUAGCGUAAACAUUAAUUCAUACCUGUUUGACGCAGUUCAUGCCAACCAGCACUGAGGAAAUGUCCUUGUUUGUCAAACUGUAUUGCAUAGCUAACUUUGAGAUGUUCUUCCCUUUCUUCUGGCAAAAGGCCGCAGCAUCUUGACAUGCAGACUGAAGACAAAUCAAACGCAUGAUGAUCAUUAUUCUAACCAAGGUUAUAAGAGUACCAACAAUGUUUACCAGUUACCAUAAAAAGACAUAUGGCUCCCACUCCUCUCAAGCACACAAGUUAGGUGGCUAUCAAGGGCUAAACAACGAAAACUUUGAUUAACCAGAAGAUCAACCAAGACCAUCACCUCAGUAAGUAGCAUGCUAAUUUUCUUCCAGCUCAGCCUUGAUCAAUAUUACACAAACGAUGUCCUCAAAUCCAUCAAAAAUCCCAAAACUAUACUCACAACCUUCCUGUACUGCCAAUCUAUUUCUUACUUAAAUGAGCAUCCUUCUGCACAAGGGGAAGAAAUUGUAAACUAACCUUUAGCUCAGGGGGAGCUGGAUGCCACUCUGGUGGACCACUCUCGGUAAGAAGCCCCAUUGCUAGGGGAGAGGCACUUAUUAUACCGACACCUUUGCUCUUCAAAUAUGGCAGCAAAUCUUCCAAGCUAUUGUCGUUGAUACUGAAGUGGCAGUAAGAAAGGACUACGUCGACUGAACCUGGUGGCACACGAUCAAGCACAUAUGUGAAGAUCCCCAAUGGUAGUCCAGUAAUGCCAAUGAAACGGAUCUUUCCAGUUUCCUUCAGUUUCAGAAGUGCAGGAAUAGUCUCAUUGACAAUCUGUCAGUGUGGAAAAGCCAAGUGUUCACGCUCAUUUUUCAGAAUACAUGUGACAAAUCAACAAUAUAGUUCAGAACAAGAAAGGUAAGCACCUGAUCCAGGGAGCCAAACUCGAUAUCAUGGCACUGAAGUAUAUCUACAUAAUCAAGUUGCAAUCUUUCUAAACUCUCAUCAAUGCUCCUUGUCACUCUCUCAGCACUAAAGUCAAAGCCCUCUUUAUAACGUCCACAUUUCGUUGAUACAAUAUACUGAUCUCUUGGUACACCUGAAGCUUUAAGUGCCAUCCCCAGCAUCUUCUCUGACAACGUUCCUCCAUAGUACCUUUAACAAUAGGAUACAUCAGGAGAUAUUUUCAAGCAGCAAACCAGCGCAUAAUGCAAGUCCAAAAUGCAUGGUGCAAAAACAACAGCCAGAGCCUCCUUAAAAGCAGGUAAAACGAAUUGAAGAUCAGAAACUAUGUGAGAGUAUCCACCAAUGAAAAAACAUAGAGAAACCUCAAAUGAGUUGAACAAACGCCUAAAGUCACUGAGCCCAGAUCAACUUCUUCACUUCUCAUCAGUUCAAUGCUCACGCAUAGUAGUAAAUUUGGAUGGGUUUUGGAGGAAAAGAAGAAAUUGAGUAGAUAAUGACAAUCUACUAUGCAUGCCACCUUUAACAAAAUUAAUGCAAAUAAUUGCUUCUCCAUCAUCAAAGAAUUAUAAAUACCGUUAUCUCAGCAACUUCCACUAGUCCACUUCUUAUGUGAUUAACUCCAGUGAUCUCAUCUUCUCAUCAAGAUUUCGAACAAAAGAAUAGAUCCCCUUACUCCACGAUCCUCCGCCAAUGAAGCAUUGCAGACAUUAUGGUACCAUCUCAAAAUCUUUCAACUGUCUCCAAGACCCCUCUCUCAAAUUACAGCAAUUUUACCAUUAGCUCACUCUGAUGAUCAUCACCAAUCCAGACAUAGCUCAAGAACGCAAAACCUGCCCCUUUCUCUAUCCUGCACCAUCAUCCAUUCUCGAGAUUCAGGCAACAAAAUGUCCCCAAUCCGCCGAAUCCUCUCUCUCUCGCAGGGAUUGACAAAAAGUACAGGGAAAAGGAAAAAGAAAGUUUUUUCGAAUUUGGCUUACGGGGAGGUGUCGAACAAGUUGAUGCCGAGGCGGAAAGCUUCGCGGACGGAGGCGACGGCCUCGUCCUCGGAGACGGGGCCGAAGACCCUGCCGAGAGGGGACGCGCCGAAGCCGACGCAGCUCACCUUCAGCCCCGUGCCGCCGAGGGACCGGAGCUCGAGGCUCGCCGGCGGCGGUGCCGCCAUCGGAGGACCGGCGCGUUGGUUCCUUGAUUCGUGGGUCGACGGCGGGAGCAGAGGACGGAGGAGGCACUGGAGUAGAGUGGAGUGGAGCGGAGAGCAGAAUUUAAGAGAGAGAGAGAGAGAGAGAGAGAGAGAGGUGGGGCCCGAUCGGAGGGUGCGCAGAAAUUUCGAGGAAGACGACGUAAGGGGACGGGGCGAUCGUGCGGCACUGAGAAUUGGAUUGAUCUCCCCGUGGAUGCUAACUGGAGUUUCCUGUCUGUUUGGUACAAGUGUGCUUAAGUUUCAUGAUUGAUCAAAAAAAAAAAAGUUGCAUGAUUGGUGCUUUUUUUUUGUCAAACCAUGGUUGGAUGAAUCAUGACGCUCAAUUGUUUCUCGAGAUUAGAGAUAGAUUAGGAAAUUGAACCCGUCGCCUUCGAUUUGGACAUAAAUCCGUGAAGAUUGAUUCCCCUAGGAUAGGGAAUUCGUAUCGCAUAAACAAUUGAUUUAGAUAAGGAUCUGUAGCUUUUGGAGCACAAGACGCCUCGCCCAUUAUAGUAAUUUCCUAACUACCGUAUUUUAUGGUGACGUGUAGAAAGUUGUCUCGUCUCACUUGAAGAUAGUGCAAUUUUGAGCAUUGUUUACAUAAAAAAUAAUCAAUUUUUUGUGAUCAACAAAUGAUGGGGAUAAAUUGGUUGAUGAAAGUAAUUAAGUCACUGGAAAGUUAAUAGGUUAAGUGAUGUGGGCAUUCACACCUCUAUGGUGAUAUUAACAACUGCACAAUAGUAUUUUUACCUUUUACCAAAAAAUAAUAAUAAUAAUAAUAAUUGCACAAUAUCAAUGGAGCACAAGGGGUUGGCUAUAUUGAAAUUUGAUUAAGUGUUGGGGAUAGCAGAGAAAAGAAUAUGUGGAUCAAGCUGUCAAAUUAAGAAGCCAAUAUAGAUUGGCGAUUGAGCAUUAUAGUCUCUUUAGAGGCUGGCAAGGUCGAGCCUUUGGCAAGUUGCCAAACAUCAUUGAGGACUCACAACUAGCAGAAAAAGAAAAAAUAAAAAAUAAAAAUAAAUUCAAAAAUUCAAAAAAAAUUGUAAAAAUUAUCCAUGUCGACGUUGAUUAUGCCAUGUAAAACGGUUAGCAUUCACAUUAGCAAUUUCCAACUAAAUGGCCNNNNNNNNNNNNNNNNNNNNNNNNNNNNNNNNNNNNNNNNNNNNNNNNNNNNNNNNNNNNNNNNNNNNNNNNNNNNNNNNNNNNNNNNNNNNNNNNNNNNAAAAAAAGAAAAAAAAAACCGUAAACGGAGCGUGCUUCGUGUAUGUUUAUUGAGAUCAAAUUGCAAAUAAUCGUUGUUGUCAAAAUCUACUAUCGAAGUAAGACAAUAACAUAAUGGUGAACAUUGCACAACGACUGCUGUUUGAAGAGACGACCAAUUGCAUCCCCAAAUGGUUGCAAGCUUUCUACAGGAAAGGUCGAUUCCUGAAAAUAUGUUUACUAGAGACAAUCAGUUGUGGAGAUUUGUUGUACAUAUUAUCAUGACGAGGAAGCUCACCUUACAUAUACUAAAUCUUGGAGUGUGAAGUACCUUAUUAUUUUGAUGGUCCAGUUAAGAGGGUGACCCAAAGCCUCAGUUAAUGGCCCAAAAAUUUAAUUACUUUUGCAUGAGGAAACAAGGAACUAAAUUUGUGUUUUGCAUCUAAACCACAUGGAUAACUCAAUUUCUUAACUUCAUAUUAAGCCACUCCUUUGGAAUGAUCACCCAAUGGCAUAUUCUUAUGCCUAUAGUGAAUUGGAUGCGUGGUGUGUGUCUAGGGUCUAUGUCUUCUGCCAUGUUAUUUUUUAGUUUUAUUGGGAUGCAACUAUUUGAUAUAUUCCCAUAAGAUCAAUUGUGACUGGACCUAUUCUUGAGAUGUUAAAAAUAUGUAUGAUGGGUUCACAAUUACACUAAAUCUUUAGACCGUUUUUGGUCGGUGGAUCACAAAGUAGAUAUUAAUUAUGUUAUUGAAACUAGUGUGUCCUUAGCUUCAUUGAUGACCCACAAGAUUAAUUCAAGGGCCACAAUUCAAACUAGGGAAGGUAUAUAAGCAUUUUUCACUCUCAAAAUUUGUGCACCAACCAUCCUUUUGUUGAGAUUGCCUACAUAGUCAAAAUUGAUGAAACCAACAACCGAAUGUCCUAUAUCAUAACCUUUAUUAAAGGCCAAACCCCAUUUGAGAUAUCCUGGAUGUACCUUUUGUUGAGAUUGCCUACAUAGUCAAAAUUGAUGAAACCAACAACCGAAUGUCCUAUAUCAGAACCUUUAUUAAAGGCCAAACCCCAUUUGAGAUAUCCUGGAUGUACCGAAGAAUCCAUUUCAUGACUUACCAGUGAAUUUUACCUGGAUGUAUCAUAUACCUACUCAUAACACUAACAGCCUGUAAAAUAUCUAGACAAGUACAAAUCAUAGCAUACAUGAGCUAUCCACAAUAUUAGAAUAUGGAACUUGAGACAUCUCAUCUUCCUCUUCUUUAGUUUUAGACGACAAAGAAUCCGAAAGCCUAAAAUGGGACACCAAAUGAGUACUUACCGCUUUAGUAUUCUUCAUCCUAAAGCACUCAAGCACUUUCCCAAUAUACUUCUUCUGCGAGAGGCAUAACUUCUCAACCUGUAUGUCUCUACAAAUUUCCAUACCUAAAAUUUUCUUGGCAAUUCCAAGAUCUUUCAUCUCAAAUUCCUUGCUAAGUUGCCUCCUUAAAUUUUAUAUCUCUAAUAUGUUCUUUACUACAAUAAGCAUGUCAUCUACAUAUAAUAGUAAAUAAAUAAAAGAACUAUCAUGCAAUCUCUUAUAGUACACACAACUAUCAUGCGCACUUCUCGAGUAGCCAUGACUCAAUAUAAAGCUAUCAAAUCUCUUGAACCAUUACCGCGAAGGUUGCUUGAGACCAUACAAAAAAUGUUUCAACCUACAAACGUGAUCUUAUUUACCCUCAACAACAAAUCCCUCAUAUUAAGACAUAUAGAUUGUCUCCUCAAGCUCGCCAUGAAGAAAAGUAGUCUUGACAUUGAGUUGCUCAAGUUCUAGAUCAUAAAGGGCUAUUAACAUGAGCAAUACACGAAUGGAAUUAUGUUUCACAAUUGGAGAAAACACUUCUUUGAAGUCGAUCACCUCUUUUUGAUUCAAACCCUUCUCUACUAAACGUGUCCUAAAUCUUUCAUCUUCAACCUCUAGAAUUCUCUAUUUUCUUUUGAAGACCCACUUGCACCCAACAGCUCUUUUCCCCUUAGGCAAUUUCACAAGUUCCCAAGUUUGGUCCUUUUGAAAAGACUCCAUCUCUUCAUUCAUCACAAUAGGCUACUUUUUAGAUUUAGAACAAAUAGUAGCUUAAUGGAAUAUAAAAGGCUCUUUGAUACUAAGCUCUUUAGCAAUUGUAAGAGUAUAUGCGGUCAAAUCAGCAAAACCAUACCUUUGAAGAGGCUUAAUUUGUUGUUUAGCCCUCUCUGUAGCCAAAUUUUGAGAUUGCUCAUUUCUUCUACUUUUUCUUUGAUAGAAUAUGAAUCAUGUUGAUCAUUAUCACUUUUUGGCUGAAUAGGAACUUCUUCGACCAUUUUUUGUGGAUGCUCUACAUGAAACUCCACCUCUUUCUGAACAUUCUCCUCAUGAAUACUUUCCCUGCUCAAAUAUAGAAUUUUCAUCAAAAGUAACAUCCCCACUAAUUAUAAACUUUGAUGACUGAGAAUCAGAACACCAUAACCUAUAUCAUUUAAUGCUGUCUACAUGACUAAUGAAAAUACAUUUCUUGGCCCUAGGUUCAAGCUUACUUUUUUUACAUGAUAAUAAGCUAGACAUCCAAACAUUUUUAAAUCAGAAUAAUUAGAAGGUUUACCUAACUAUAUAUCAUUAAGAGUCUUACAUUCAAUUGCGGUUGAAAGAAAACAAUUCACUAAAUAACAUGUUGUGUCCAAUUUAUGUGCUCUGCCACCCCACCCUGUUGAAGUGUAUACCCGAUUGUUUGAUGUCAAACAAUUCUUGAAUCUUCAUGGUACUUGUUGAAAACACCUCAGUAAAAAUCAAGACCAUUGUCUGUUCUGGAACGCUUUAUCUUCUCCCCAAUUUGAUUUUCUAUUAACAUAUUUCACUUCUUGAAUGUAUCAAAAACAUUACUUUUACGCUUUGAGAAAUAAACUCAGACUUUCCUAGAAAAAUUAUCAAUAAAUGUCAAAAGAAAAACUGCACCACCCUUAGAUGUUACCUAUGCCGAUCACCACAAAUCAGAGUGAAGAUAGUCAAUUGUGCCCCUCAUUGAGUGCACCAUAAUACUGAAAUUAACUCUGUGCUAUUUUCCGAAAACAACAAUGUUCGCAAAAGUUAAGUGAGAUCAUAUGAUCCCUACAAAGUAAACCAUGUUUACUCAAGAUAGUCAUUCUUUUUUUGUUCAUGUGGCAAACACAUAUACCACAACAUUGAUUUUUCAAAAUCUAAAGGGGAUGACAUAUUUAAAAUCACAAUCAAUAAGCCUUUCGAAAUGUUCAAAACUCCACCUCCAUCUGUGUACAUGCAUUUAAUGAAAUCUCAAUUGCUCAAUGAAAUAAGGUUCUUCUUCAAAUCUGGGAUGUGCAUAAUGCUUGUCAAAAAUUUUACUACAUUGUCAUUACAUUUAAUAUGUACAGUACUAAUACCUACGUUCCUACAGAUUGCAUUGUUACCCAUCAAAACUAAACCUCUGCUGACUUUCUCAUAUGUGUGGAACCAAUUUCUAUAUGGACACAUAUGGUAUGAACAUGCUGAAUCCAAAAUCCAUUCAUCAUCAACAUGAAAAUCUAAAAACAAAACAAUAUGAACAUUGUAUGCAUUAGCUGACUCAUUAUUUUUCACCAAACUAGUCGAAUCAGAAUUCUUCAUCAACUUCUUCCCCUUAGCUUUGAGUACUCGAUACUCACUUUUGCAAUGUCCUAAUUUCUAACAAUAAUAGUACUCCACCUUACUCUUAUCUCUAUUUGAUUUAGAUUUCAAACUCCAUUUACUAUUACUACGUCUAUCAUGAUGAUUUGACCUUCUCUUAACAACUAAGCCAUUAGCUUUAUCACCACUACUACUCGUAUUCAAUUUUGUACGCAUCUCCAUAAAAUUCAAUGAGACUUUCACAUCCUUAAGAGUUAUAGAUUCCCUUCCAUACAACAUAGAUUUCACAAAAUUCCCAUACGAGCUCGAUAGUGAACAUAACAUAAUUAGGGCCCGAUCUUCAUCAUCUAACUUCAAAUAUAGAUUUUUCAUAUCCAUAACAAUUUUAUUGAAUUCAUUUAGAUGUUCUUGGAUAGGAAUACUUUCUUGCAUCUUUAACGUGUAAAGACACUGCUUCAAAAAUAAUCUUGUCAUAGGAGAUUUCUUCAUGUGGAGGUUCUCAAGCUUAUUUCACAAUCCCAAAACUGUUUCUUCAUCUGCAACUUCACAAAGCACCUUAUCGGAUAAUGACAAUUGAAUAGUGCUAUGCGUCUUUUCUUCCACCUCCUCGAUCUUAGCCGUAGUCAUAUCAUUGGGAUAAUUUCCGUCCACGACUCUAACUGAACCUUCUCGACGCAGCAACGCCUUCAUCUUGAUCCUCCAUAGCCCAAAAUUAUUUUGGCCAUCGAAGGGUGCCACUUCGAACUUGAUAGAUGGUAUCUCAAACAAAAUGACCAAAAUUCCUUCACUCUAAUAUCAAUUUAUUGCCAAAAAAAGGUCAAUCAAAGAUGCACCAAUCUAAGAACAAAUAGCAAAGGAUGAAAGAAAAUCGAAAUCACACGAGAUGCAAGAUUUACGAGGAAAAUCCAAAAUGAGAAAAUUCAUUAGGAGAGAGAGGGGUUUCAAUAUCUUUAAUAGAGAGAACAAAAGUACCAUCCAAAAAGCUCUAAAACCAUUUGGUGAGCCACAAUAUCUAAAUAUCUAACAAAAAGGUUGGAAAAAAAAAAACAAAACUGGAAAUAAUAUAGAGGUUAAGGUUGGAGAUAUGUUAUUAAACACAUUUCUUUCGUAGUCUCCCUUCAAAAAUUCCUAAAAUAAAUGUGCAUGGUUUAAAAUACUCUUAUUUCUUAAUUUGAAAGUUAAAAUUCAACCCAUUUCAAUUAUGUCAAUUUAGUCCGUAACCUCUUGUCAAUUUGUCAAUUUAAUUCUAAACUUUUCAUUGGUACCAAUUUACUCCUAAGCUUUUUUCUUUUUUUUUAAUUUGCCAAUAGUUCUAAACCUUUUGAUGAUUUACCAAUGUAGUCAUUCCAAAUAAAUAUCCAAAUAAUAGGUUUAUGACUAAAUUGGCAAAUCUUCAAAAGGUUUAGAACUAAAUUGACAUAAUUGAAAGUUACAUGACUAAAUUAGCAAAUCGUUAAAAUUUUUAGGACUAAAUUAGCAAAAUUGAAGGUUUAUGACCGAAAUGGCCAUUGUACCAUAGGAUUUAGGACUUUUUAUGCAUAGAUUGUUAUCGAAGAUGAAAAUAUUUUCCGUUGAAUAAUUUUUUAAACAAUAUAAGCAAUUACUUUUCGAAAAAUGUUUCCCCAAUCACUCAUCUUCAGUGAAACAAACACACCCUUCGAGCUUAAUAGUUUUCUAACUUAGAAUUUAAAGAUUAUCACUGAACAAUCACGUCCAUUAACGUGUGCAUCGUUUACUAUAUCUUAUUUGUCUGAAAGCCUCUUCUCGUAGAAGAAAACGAGAGAGCACCAUUCACGUUACUCUGUCCUCUAUGUUGGCUAUCACUGCAAGGCUUGAAUCAUGUUCAUCCUUCUUGGUAUUUUAUCAAAUUAUUACAUGUAUCGAAAAAACAAAUAAAAACUACGCGAGUAGUAUAUAUCGAAUUACUAGGAUUAGUGGUAAAUCUACAAAUUUACUAGCCCAGUAGGUAGUAUUGCUGUAGGAAAGAAACUAAUAUGUGAGGAGGAUAUUAUUAAGAUGCACAUGUAAGUUUAAAAAUGUCUCACGUGGAAGAAUUGGUGUAAUAUGAAAUAAUUAAUGGAUCAUAACUCCUUGAAUUAAAGUUUUUAGUGAAGAUAGAUCCAAUUAAAUAUUGAUAGGCUUGGACUUUUGCCCUCUCUUGGCGGUCUCUCCCUAGAUGAAGGGAUUGGGCUUUUGAUACUUGCUUCUUGAAAAUUAAUAUCGGAGCCUGACUUAAUUAAGUUAAAGUGAAUCGAUUUCAACUAAAGAAGGAAAAGUGAAAAUAAACAUAUUUGAUGGGGAGGAUUUUGGUUUUAGAGCUCAUAGUUGAUUAGUGGCUAUUCCUCAUAUAUAUCAGUGCACGGUGAAUAUCUUAAAGAAAGGAAUUUCGUGACUUACACGAUUCCUAGCAGUCUUCAUGGGACUAGCGAAAGAGACACCGGUUGAGAAUGGACAUUGUGGUGUAAAAACAAGGUCCUUCAUGAUUUAAUUGUCCGGUGACAGCCUUCAUAGUUGGGACUAGAGAAAGAGACUAGAAAUGAAGAUGUGCAUUACACAUGAUAACAACAAUGCAUUUGAGAAAGAAAUAACUUCACAAACUCCAAAUAGAAUGAGUGCGUAUAUACUAAACGAAAGUUUUAUUUUUCAUAUGAUAAAGAAUCUCACACAAAUGAGCGGAAAUAAUAAUGAUGCCUAAGAUACACAGAGGUAAAUGUCAUCUUAGAGUACAAACUACUGGCAAAUCGCGUCUCUAGAGGUCAUUUCCAGCUCUAUAAUGGGGGAAAAAUUGAUAUGUCUUAAGUGUGCAUGCGGGAAAUCAAUGAUCAACAUUACACAAGAGACAGUUCACCCGGCGGAAUUGAUCUCUUCACAAGUUUGGUCCAAGAUUCAUUUGUCUCACUGAUAACCUUCAGAGCAUAAGCCUGCAGCAUCAUAUCACACAGUAUGCAAUUUAUUAUAUUCAAAUUAGAAGCAAUAAUAGCAAAUGUAAACCUCCCAAACUAUAGAGCAAGAUGCGUUCACCCAUGCCUAAGCAACCUGAUCUAAUAAUUGGAACAUUCCCUAACUGUUGGUUGGCCGGGUCUUCAGGGUGGGUACCAGAGACCCUUUCAUUUCAACUAUUCAAGACAAAAAGAUGAAGGCCUAUAACCAAAGGUGGAGAAACCAUUCAGAUCAAGGCCUAUCUUACACAUAUGUAGCAAGGAAGCAACGCCGUUGUGACUCUGGCAAAAUGCUCAAGUUGGUCAGUAUACUUGCUUAUCAACCUAAAUAUCAACAUGGGCCCAAUUGACGAAUGUCAUCAAGCAGGUGGUCUAAGUAGAGCGACUUGCUGGCUAGUGGGGAAAAGAAGGAAAAGGAAAUUUUCACAAUCCUAAUGCCCAUGGAGCAUUGCUAUAAACUUAUUUUAUGAAUGGGCAAGAGAGAACUCUCAACGUAGCAAUUUGCUGAAGAUGAGCAUGCUAUUAAUAGGUAAACCACUCAAACACAAAGAUAAGAUAAGUCUUUGGUGAAGUAAAUUGCUGGUAAACAUAGAGUGCAAGCUGGGCCAUGGCAUUUUAUCACCUCUGCACAAAAGUUUUUUGGUUCUUUGGGUAUCAAAAUAGGUGCAAACUAUGUUAACGACAUUGAAUAUUCACCUUAUCAGCUGGCUUGUUUCCAAGACCAAACUUAUUGGCUGGCUUGCCAUCAGGAAUUUUGUAGUCACGAAACCAGUCCCUGAUUGCAGUUAGAGUACCCUGAGGAUACAAAAUAAUUCUUAAUCAGGAUAUAAUUAACAAAAAAAACCCACAGCAGUCAUGGAUAAUUAGAACACUUCUAGGGAUAGGAAUAGAGUUUUUUUUUUUUUUUUGUUAAAUUUCUUUUUCAAUGUCUUCGUCAAUUAACACACACGCAUACACACAAAUGUUGAGAGUACCAUAUACGUUAAGAUAGUAGGUGUAUAUCCAAGCUAAAAUCUUGGAAUGUGGUAAGUAUUCUUUUGACUUUUGUUUCUUCACAAAUCUAGCAGAGUACUUUUGUCCUUUCUAAUAGGUGAAUGGCUUUUGCACCUUUGUUGCCCUUUCAAACAUACUAUCAUGUUUUACCAAAAGAAAAGAUAAGCACUCUUCUUCUUUUGCCAAUGCCAGACAAUUUCCCUUUCCUAGUCCAGACAUCUGUAGCACUAUGAUAGAUCAAUCAUUUCAAACAUCACCUCUUACAAAUUUAACAAAUCCUAAAGCCUUUUCAUAAAUUGAGACCCUUCCAGAGGAAAAGUUCAUCUGACCGGAUUGCUAUUUUACACAUGCUUUGAAUAACUAACAUACUCAAACAAACUAAUUGUUAUUCCAGAUUAAGCAUCAGAGAAAGAGAGAAAUAAAAGUUAGUGCCAGUUUGUAACAAUGAACAUAUCAAAGUUGCAAAACAAUGAAACUAUGGCGCAUAACAGCAUAUUGUUGAGAGUGGGGUGAAUAGCAUGAGAGAAAACUACAAUACUCAUCCACAUAGAACAUACCGGGAAAUGCUUCUCAACAUCAUCUAUAUCAUUUACGAGGGAAGCCUUAGGAUCAUCCAGGGAAACUGCUAUUAUUUUCCAGUCGAGUUCCCCCUCAUCAAUCAUAGCUAAUGCAGCCAAGGGCUUGACCUUCAAAAUCUCACCAAUCUGUCUCCGACUUUCACCAAUCUCAACAACAUCAACUACACAGUCAAAAACAUGAAAUACUAGAUUAAGAUCAUUCUAUAAUGGCAUUAACAAUCUUGAAGAAAAAAAUGUUUACGAGAACUGGAUGAAGUUUGUUAAUACCCGGAUCAUUAUCACCAAAUGCCCCUUCAACUUCAGAGUUAGCAAAAGAUGGGUCUUCCCAUGUUUGUGGAAGCAAUCCAUAAUUCCAGUGGAUAUUGUAGCUGAGGAAAACAAUUAAGAUGCUUCAGCUUUGGAAUUUAGAAAAAAAUUAUUAGAAUACAUGACUUCCCUCUAGACCUAGCUGAACUCAAUUUGAAAGGGCUUCUUCCUAUACCUGUGAAUUCCAACUUAAUUGGCUACUUCCAAUUACGUAAUAAGCAAUUUAUUAUAAUUUUAGACUGUACGACAUAAAUCCAGUUCAAAUACGAAAGGACCAUAACCUGAAAACUACAUCUCUUAAAAUGUAUCUGUAUCCUCCACAGCAGCUAUGGGUCUUCUAAUAAAGUAAUCAUGUAGAAGUAUCACAAAGGAGGUCCCCAGGAACAGAUACAUUUGAGAAACAUCAAAUGAAAAAUGAUGCAGAAUUUUCAUUGCUCUAAGAAAUAUUACUAGAAGGAAAUGAGCAAUUACUCAUUUAGGUAUACAUUUGUGAGAUUUAACAUCAAGAUGCUCAAAAACCACAACACAAUGGAAGCUCCAGUCAAAAUGAAUAAGAACCCCAAAAGGAUAAGAAUGCUAUAAGAAUAAAAAUCUUGAACAUAAGUACAGGCUAUCAUGCUAGAAAUACAAAGGCAUGGAGCAUCAAUGUAGGCUGCAAGUGCACAUUGGGUCUCUCCCCACUGCUCUCGACCAAAGAUUCAUAGCUUAAAAACAGAAAAUUAGCAGAUCUUCCACUAAAUGAGAAAUAAAGAUGAAAACAACAAGGAAAACUACAAUUCAGGGAAAAAACGCACUGGAUAUUAAUCAUAAUGACCAUGCAUAUUGAGGAGAUUUACAACAUGUCAAUCAGAAAUUCUGGAAUUAAAAACUCAAAGACAUUGAUAUCUGACAUUCACGAGAGGAACUACAGGAACUAAAACUCAUAAGUGACUGUGGCCAUGACAUAUUACUGAGAAAUUAAAGUGCCUAAAGUGCUUAGAAAGUAGACACCAGGAUAUCUUGGUUAAAUGUGUGAAGAGCACCUUUUCAAUAAACUAUUAUAAGUACUGGUCAGCCUAUGCCUUACAGUUGAACAUAUUGGCAAACAGAAAGAUUCAUAUCAAGAAGCUGACAUAGAGAUACUUCAACUUCGACCUCAGGGAAGGGAAUAAUACACAUUAACAGAGAAGCAUAUCUUACGGAUAAUAUCGAAGAUUUCCCUUCUUAGUGUCCUGCUUGAUGGGAGUGAAUGGCUCAUCAGUGGCAACUUCCAUCUUUGCACUGGACUCCUUGGGUAUUUCAACUACAAAGUUGAAAACCCCAUCGCCCAGUUGCAACGGUAUAUCAUGCCAUGGGGAUAUCUGCACCAGUAUCAUGAUUCUUCUUCAUGUUUAAGCCCAAGAACGGGAAAAUCGAAUUUUCUUAAACCGAUGUUUAGUAAAUGAGAUCUUUUCAUUCGCACAAUGUCUCUAUGCUAAACAACAGAGACGAGACGAACCAGAGACACUUCCCCGUGUGGAAAUGUAAACUCAAAAAACAGAAACCAGUUCAAAAUUCGCCGUGCGAACAAUCCCCACAUCAGGCAUUUUCCCACAAGACAAAACAUACUUCAAAAGACGCCAAAACACGACUUCACCCCAUCCAUGCGCAUUGCAAGAACUACAUUCCAUUUCUCGCGACCGCACUGUCCAGUGACUCAGAGUACACUACUAUCGAAUCAGGCGCGGCAAUUGCAGCAUCGGAAGCCGUCUGUAAGCACGCUCAUUUGUCCAAAAACAUGAUUUUGCCGCAAAUACAAGAUAAGACAAAGAUCAUAAUCGAACAAAGUCAUCUUUUUUUGCGCUCGCUAGUCACCAUUGAUCGCCAAUAUCACCAAUCCGACGAAAGCAAUCACAAACGCGAAGCUUCGAAUAAAGUAACGGUCUUGGCAAGACUAAAAGCUCCACAUCUUCCUAUCCAUCAUCCACUGAUUCCCGAAACGCCCAAGCGAAAUCCACCCCCAUUUCCAUCGUCUUCUCGAAGAAUCAAACAAGCACGCUCGAAGAGAGAAGAGAGGAGAGAGAGAGAGAGGGAGACCUUCUUGCCGGAAUCCUCGACGAGGAAGACACGGUAAUCGAGCGUCUCGGGCUUGCCCUCCUCCUUGACCUUGACCUGAGGCCUGUAGAUGGCGCUGCAAGCGAACGACCUCCUCGACGACGACGGCAGCGGCGCGGCGGCGGCGGGCCGCCUGAAAAGACGCAGCCCGGCGCCGCCGCCGCCCAGGGCCCCCCGCUUGAGCGAGCGCGGCGUCCUGGAGAGCAGGCAGCUGGUGGUGGCGGCGGCUGCCGGGAUGACUCUGACGGUCGCCAUGGCCCGUCGGAGGCGCUCUGCUUUCCGGCUGCUGACGGCGGACGGCGACGGCGACGGCGGAUGGUGAUUGGGAGAGCGUGCUUUGGAGGAGUGUCGAGUGAGCCACAGAAACAAAUUGUGCCUGUUUUUUCCUUUUUAUUUAUUUAUUUAUUUUCCCUCGGGCCCAGAAAAUAGAAAAUGAAAUGAAAUAUAAAAAAAAAAAAAAAAAUUGGGGAAAAGUGGGCAAUAAUAUCCGGUGGGCCCCGCGCGAUAUACUCGCCGUAGAGCGACUGGUGGAGGUUGGUGCGCCGCCAUAGGCGAGCCUCGAGCCGAAGUUGAGUGAUGUGAUGACACGAGAUAUCUCGGACAUGAAUGAUUACACCAUGAAAUUCAAUUUAAUGUGUAGGCUCGUUUUUUAAUUUUUAAUUUAUUCAAUAUAAUUCAUAAAUUUUCAUUGUAUAUUCGAUCUAAUUUUUCAAUAUUCAACAUCAUCUCUGAAUUUGAAUCAAUAAAACAAUGACAAUUACCAUUUUUAUAUAGUUCAUUAAUUAGAUCAAAUAUGUACACUAUAUUGAAUAAAUUAGAAAUUCAACAAAGACAUUGUACAUUAGGUAAAACUUCAGAAUUUGCAUUGAACAAAUUAAAAAUUUAAGAGGGUCAAAGUUUAUAGAUCAUUUAAGUUAUUUUCAUAUUUAAAAUUGUUGUUGAUGCCAUAUUUUGAAAAUUAAACUUUUAAAAAAAUAUAUGAUUCUAUAAUUCUACUGAUAUUUAUUGCCAAAAAAAAAUGUAAAAAAAAAAAUUGAAGAGAAAAUUUAGUUGUACUGGAAGAAAAUAUUAAGUAAAAUAAUUUCUCUUAGAAAAUUAUUAGAAUUUUUAUCAAAAACUUGGUUGCUCGAUGUAUGAAACAAAUAGGACUUUCGCUUUGGAUGAUAAACUCGUUUAGGCGCUGCAUACAAAAUUGCUCUAUCCCUUCGUGAAAGAGUUUUUGUACCCAAAAAAAGUGUUUUUUUUUCUAAUAAAAAAUGAAUGAAAAUGUGUCUGUUCUUGCAAUGGAUCAACGGCAGCAAUCUAAUUCAAAUCCCUAACGAGUCAGCAAAUCCAGAAAUUUAAGGAUUUUGCCAAUAAUUUAGGACAUCGAUUGUAAUUAUUACCAUAGGAAAUAUUCUCUGAUAAAUUCACAAGAGGAAAUGCCAAAAAAGAUAAACAGAAAAAAGGAAAGAAAAAAUUGCAUUAUCAACACCUCUGGUAUUUUAUCUGAUACAAUCCCUCAAUUUAAAGCAAAGAAAGAAGGGGGGAAAUAAGUUCCACUGAAAAGCUCUUGGUCCUUAUGGAAUGUGACAACCCAAAUUGGAAGCAACACAUCUCAUGACGAAUUAUUCAAGACAGGAAAUGGGAUAAGUGGAUACAUCAAUACAAACAGAUCAAACGUCGAGAACGAUACGAACUUUUAGCUCUGCUGGAUCCCGCUCGGCCAUGUCAGGUUCUUCACCGGCUUGAGGAUGGCUUCAACCUCGGAGAGCGUUUCUUGAUCCAUUCCUGUGGACGCCAGCUCCGUUGCAGCGGCGACAUUCUCCUCGACCUGACAUUGGCACGCGAGAGUGUAUCAGAGAAGUUCAUUCC
rnacentral:lncRNA from 1 species